UAACGACCAUACCACGCUGAAAGCACCGGUUCUCGUCCGAUCACCGAAGUUAAGCAAAGUCGGGAACGGUCAGUACUUAGAUGGGGGACCGCUU
rnacentral:rRNA from 1 species